rnacentral:rRNA from 1 species
UGCAAGUCGGACGGGAUUGCGAAGCUUGCUUUGCAUGAGAGUGGCGCACGGGUGCGUAACACGUAUGUAACCUACCUUAUCCAGGGGGAUAGCCUCUCGAAAGAGAGAUUAACACCGCAUAACAUCACGCCAUAGCAUUAUGAUGUGAUCAAAUAUUUAUAGGGAUAAGAUGGGCAUGCGGGACAUUAGCUAGUUGGCGGGGUAACGGCCCACCAAGGCUACGAUGUCUAGGGGAUCUGAGAGGAUGACCCCCCACACUGGUACUGAGACACGGACCAGACUCCUACGGGAGGCAGCAGUAAGGAAUAUUGGUCAAUGGGCGCAAGCCUGAACCAGCCAUGCCGCGUGCAGGAAGACGGCCCUACGGGUUGUAAACUGCUUUUGCAGGGGAAUAAACCCCCGUACGUGUACGGGGCUGAAUGUACUCUGAGAAUAAGGAUCGGCUAACUCCGUGCCAGCAGCCGCGGUAAUACGGAGGAUCCAAGCGUUAUCCGGAUUUAUUGGGUUUAAAGGGUGCGUAGGCGGCCUAUUAAGUCAGGGGUGAAAGACGGUAGCUUAACUAUCGCAGUGCCUUUGAUACUGAUGGGCUUGAAUGAACUAGAGGUAGGCGGAAUGUGACAAGUAGCGGUGAAAUGCAUAGAUAUGUCACAGAACACCAAUUGCGAAGGCAGCUUACUAUGGUUUUAUUGACGCUGANGCACGAAAG